rnacentral:sRNA from 9 species
UCAUCCGUCGUUGACUCCAUGCCGAUUCGGGUUAAUCUGGUAGCGAUCCCCGUCGAUACUUUUGACGAAGGCGGCAGGGAUCGCAGAAGG